GGGGUGGUGGCGCAGUGGGCUAGCGCGUAGGUCUCAUAAUCCUGAGGUCGAGAGUUCGAGCCUCUCUCACCCCA